UACGAAGGGUGCAAGCGUUACUCGGAAUUACUGGGCGUAAAGCGUGCGUAGGCGGUUGGCUAAGUCAGAUGUGAAAGCCCUGGGCUCAACCUGGGAAUGGCAUUUGAAACUGGCCGGCUAGAGUGUGAUAGAGGAUGGCGGAAUUCCCGGUGUAGCGGUGAAAUGCGUAGAGAUCGGGAGGAACAUCCGUGGCGAAGGCGGCGUUCUGGACUGCAACUGACACUGAAAAACGAAAGCCAGGGGAGCAAACGGG
rnacentral:rRNA from 1 species